GAUGAAGAACGUAGCGAAAUGCGAUAAGUAAUGUGAAUUGCAGAAUUCAGUGAAUCAUCGAAUCUUUGAACGCACAUUACGCCCGCCAGUAUUCUGGCGGGCAUGCCUGUUCGAGCGUCAUUUCAACCCUCAAGCCCAGCUUGGUGUUGGGGAUCGGCACAGGCGCCCUCGGGCGCCCGCCGUCCCCUAAAUCUAGUGGCGGUCCCGCUGCAGCCUCCUCUGCGUAGUAGUUUUCUCCUCGCAAGGGCAGCUCGGUGGCGACCUCGCCGUAAAACCCCCAACUUCUGAAAGGUUGACCUCGAAUCAGGUAGGAAUACCCGCUGAACUUAAGCAUAUCAAUAAGCGGAGGA
rnacentral:misc_RNA from 1 species